rnacentral:rRNA from 1 species
AUGACUGCUUGCAAGCAGACUGCAUCCACGGGCGCCGCCGCCACGGACGAGGCCGACAGCAAGUCGGCAGCGAAGAGCGAUGGAGCGGAGGAGCGGAAGCCCUCGACCAAGUGCAAGAAGGGGAAGAAGGCCAAGGGCAAGUUGGGGGUGAAGAGCGAUGGAGCGGAGAAGCCGAAGACCCAUGACCUUUCCGAUGUUACACUGGGGUUGGCGGUGAUGAGCAUUGCAGAGGAUGAAGCGCUCGCCCUGCGCACCUACCAGAACCAGUUCUGGAUGAGGCACUUCAAAGACGUCUGUGACAGGCCGUCCGUAGGUGCUAUUAGAAAGCAAGCUGCUGAAAACUGGAAAUUCUUUAACGAUUCGGACAAGGCCCCUUAUGUAGCCAGGGCCCGUGAGGUCAAAAUAGGCAUGGCUCGGAUUGCUGAGUUCAAGAAGAAACUGAUGUUGACGGAGGUAAUGACAAACGAGAUGGUGAAUCUGAAAAUGUGA